UGAAAUGUUUCGGACCACUGC
rnacentral:miRNA from 1 species